UGGCUUGGAAGCAGCCAUUCAUUUAAAGAGUGCGUAACAGCUCACUAGUCGAGCGAUCGAGCAUGGAUAAUAAUCGGGCAUAAGUAUAUUACCGAAGCUAUGGAUUUGCAGUUUACUGCAAGUGGUAGGGGAGCAUUGUAGCGGCGCCGAAGGUGUUUUGUAAGAAAUGCUGGAGCCUCUACAAAAGAAAAUGUAGGCAUAAGUAACGAUAAGGCGGGUGAGAAACCCGCCCACCGAAAGACCAAGGUUUCCUCAGCGAUGCUAAUCAGCUGAGGGUUAGUCGGGACCUAAGGCGCACCCGAAAGGGGUAGUCGAUGGCCAACGGGUUAAUAUUCCCGUACCUGCUCACGCCAAAAGUGACGGAUUCGUAUAGAUGUUGCGUACUGACAGAAUAGUACGUUGAAGGGAGCAGUAAUGCCCCGAUAGUACAAAGCGGCUUCGGCCAAUUUGAUAAUACAUCGAAGCGAGUUCCAAGAAAAGCGAGUGAAGCAGCCCGUACCCUAAACCGACACAGGUGGUUGGGAAGAGAAUUCUAAGGUGCUCGAGAGAUUCAUGGCUAAGGAACUAGGCAAAAUCGACCCGUAACUUCGGGAGAAGGGUCGCCCAUCUUUUAGAUGGGCCGCAGUGAAGAGGUCCAGGCGACUGUUUAUCAAAAACACAGGGCUCUGCUAAAUCGAAAGAUGAUGUAUAGGGCCUGACACCUGCCCGGUGCUGGAAGGUUAAGUGGAGGGGUUAGCUUCGGCGAAGCUCUGAAAUGAAGCCCCAGUAAACGGCGGCCGUAACUAUAACGGUCCUAAGGUAGCGAAAUUCCUUGUCGGGUAAGUUCCGACCUGCACGAAUGGUGCAACGAUCUGGACACUGUCUCAGCCAUGAGCUCGGUGAAAUUGUAGUAUCGGUGAAGAUGCCGAUUACCCGCUGUGGGACGAAAAGACCCCGUGCACCUUUACUAUAGCUUAGUAUUGGUUUUGGAUAAGUAAUGUGUAGGAUAGGUGGGAGACUUUGAAGCGGCGUCGCUAGGCGUUGUGGAGUCAUUGUUGAAAUACCACCCUUUGCUUAUCUAGAGUCUAAC
rnacentral:rRNA from 1 species